rnacentral:rRNA from 1 species
AUUGAACGCUGGCGGCAGGCCUAACACAUGCAAGUCGAGCGGAUGAGUGGAGCUUGCUCCAUGAUUCAGCGGCGGACGGGUGAGUAAUGCCUAGGAAUCUGCCUGGUAGUGGGGGACAACGUUUCGAAAGGAACGCUAAUACCGCAUACGUCCUACGGGAGAAAGUGUGGGACCUUCGGGCCACAUGCUAUCGGAUGCGCCUAAGGGGGAUUAGCUAGUUGGUGAGGUAAUGGCUCACCGAGGCGACGAUCCCUAGCUGGUUUGAGAGGAUGAUCAGCCACACUGGAACAGAGACACGGUCCAGACUCCUACGGGAGGCAGCAGUGGGGAAUAUUGGACAAUGGGCGCAAGCCUGAUCCAGCCAUGCCGCGUGUGUGAAGAAGGCCUUCGGGUUGUAAAGCACUUUCAGUAGGGAGGAAGCGUUGUGUGUUAAUAGUACACAGCGUUGACGUUACCUACAGAAGAAGCACCGGCUAACUCUGUGCCAGCAGCCGCUGUAAAAC